rnacentral:rRNA from 1 species
GAUGAACGCUGGCGGCGUGCCUAAUACAUGCAAGUCGAGCGAACAGACGAGGAGCUUGCUCCUCUGACGUUAGCGGCGGACGGGUGAGUAACACGUGGAUAACCUACCUAUAAGACUGGGAUAACUUCGGGAAACCGGAGCUAAUACCGGAUAAUAUAUUGAACCGCAUGGUUCAAUAGUGAAAGACGGUUUUGCUGUCACUUAUAGAUGGAUCCGCGCCGCAUUAGCUCGUUGGUAAGGUAACGGCUUACCAAGGCGACGAUGCGUAGCCGACCUGAGAGGGUGAUCGGCCACACUGGAACUGAGACACGGUCCAGACUCCUACGGGAGGCAGCAGUAGGGAAUCUUCCGCAAUGGGCGAAAGCCUGACGGAGCAACGCCGCGUGAGUGAUGAAGGUCUUCGGAUCGUAAAACUCUGUUAUUAGGGAAGAACAAAUGUGUAAGUAACUAUGCACGUCUUGACGGUACCUAAUCAGAAAGCCACGGCUAACUACGUG